AGGGUAAUAGUUCAAUGGUAGAGUGCAUGCAUGAGGUCCUGGGUUCAAUCCCCAGUACCUCCA
rnacentral:tRNA from 1 species